UUGGACCUCCUCUCUGUCACUCACAACACCUGAGCCAAUCACCUGCAGUCUCCCUCCCACCUGGAAUCCACCUGUUCCUUUGUUUGAAGCACAUCCAGAUUCACUCAGUCACACACAACAGUCACUUGAACAGCAGGAUCACCCCACAUUCACUCAGCUCUGGAAACACAUUCACUUUUCACAAGCCUGGAAUCUUGGAAAUCACAGCAUCAAAGCAAGCCUUCAGCUCCACAACCAUGCUGUUGGACUCGUGGCUGCCACCAACAUAAACCAAACAUUUUGCUGACAUUGGUUAGGCUCCUAUGGAUGAUUUGAAUUGAUGGUGAGCUACCCUCGAAAGAACUGGAACAUUCUGAAAAGAUUCACCCCUUCACCCACCCACUCAUUGGCAGGCCUCAAGCCUCACAGCUUCAUCCCUUCCCCAGUGGUGUGGUAGGACUUGUUUAUAUUUGUUCCACCGUGUUUAUAUUUGUUUCACCUUGUUUAGACUCAUUUGGACUUGUUAGGAUUUGUUCAUGGACUAGUUUCAUGGAUUGAUUACUUUGAUUAACACCAUUGGCAACAGUGGAACCACACUCACCUGAAUUAAGAACUGUCAUUGCAUUAUUGGAUUGAACAUAGCACAUAGUCACUUUAAAUUGUUUAAAGUGAAGCUGCUGUAUUAUGAUUGAAUUGCUUGAAUUACAGGUGAAUGUUUGAUUUUUCUGAUUUUCUGUUCUUUUAAUUUAUUAUUUUGAUCAUUGCUCUAC